AGUUAGAGCUUCGGUUUUACUUUAGUGGCGAACGGGUGAGUAACGCGUGAGGAACCUGCCUUUCAGUGGGGGACAACAGUUGGAAACGACUGCUAAUACCGCAUGAUGCUUUUGGGAGACAUCUCUUGGAAGCCAAAGCUUUAUGUGCUGAAAGAUGGCCUCGCGUCUGAUUAGCUAGUUGGUGAGGUAACGGCUCACCAAGGCGACGAUCAGUAGCCGGACUGAGAGGUUGAACGGCCACAUUGGGACUGAGAUACGGCCCAGACUCCUACGGGAGGCAGCAGUGGGGAAUAUUGGGCAAUGGGCGCAAGCCUGACCCAGCAACGCCGCGUGAAGGAAGAAGGCUUUCGGGUUGUAAACUUCUUUUGUCAGGGACGAGUAGAAGACGGUACCUGACGAAUAAGCCACGGCUAACUACGUGCCAGCAGCCGCGGUAAUACGUAGGUGGCAAGCGUUGUCCGGAUUUACUGGGUGUAAAGGGCGUGUAGCCGGGAGGGCAAGUCAGAUGUGAAAUCCACGGGCUCAACUCGUGAACUGCAUUUGAAACUACUCUUCUUGAGUAUCGG
rnacentral:rRNA from 1 species